rnacentral:rRNA from 1 species
GUCUAGUCUGCUCACUGAUAAUUUUAAAGAGCCGCGGUAUUUUGACCGUGCAAAGGUAGCAUAAUCAUUAGUCUCUUAAUUAGGGGCUGGAAUGAAUGGCUUGACGAGAAAUCUACUGUCUCUUAAUAAUUUAUAUAAUUUAACUUUUAAGUUAAAAGGCUUAAAUAUUUCUUUAGGACGAGAAGACCCUAUAGAGCUUGAUAUUUUAUUUAUAUAUAUUUUUUGGUUAAUCUUUCUAUAUAUAUAAUGCUAAUAUUUUGUUGGGGUGACAUGAAAAAUAGAUAAACUUUUCAUUUUUAAAUCAUUGAUUUAUGUUUAUUUUGAUCCAUAAUUUAUGAUCAUAAGAUUAAGUUACCUUAGGGAUAACAGCGUAAUUGUUUUUGAGAGCUCAUAUUGACAAAACGGAUUGCGACCUCGAUGUUGGAUUAAGAUUAAUUUUGGGUGCAGUAGCCCAGUAAUUAGGUCUGUUCGACCUAUAAAUUCUU